rnacentral:rRNA from 1 species
CCUACGGGCGGCUGCAGUGGGGAAUAUUGGACAAUGGGGGGAACCCUGAUCCAGCCAUGCCGCGUGUGUGAAGAAGGCCCUCGGGUUGUAAAGCACUUUCAGUGAGGAAGAACGCCUGGUGGUUAAUACCCAUCAGGAAAGACAUCACUCACAGAAGAAGCACCGGCUAACUCCGUGCCAGCAGCCGCGGUAAUACGGAGGGUGCGAGCGUUAAUCGGAAUUACUGGGCGUAAAGCGCGCGUAGGUGGCUUGAUAAGCCGGUUGUGAAAGCCCCGGGCUCAACCUGGGAACGGCAUCCGGAACUGUCAAGCUAGAGUGCAGGAGAGGAAGGUAGAAUUCCCGGUGUAGCGGUGAAAUGCGUAGAGAUCGGGAGGAAUACCAGUGGCGAAGGCGGCCUUCUGGACUGACACUGACGCUGAGGUGCGAAAGCGUGGGUAGCAAACAGGAUUAGAUACCCGAGUAGUC